rnacentral:misc_RNA from 1 species
CCUUUUGGUUGCCAGGACCUGACCCUUAAGCUGCUCUCCGAAUUUGAGAACAACCGUGAACAGGUGUUGCCUCUACCUCUCCACAGUUAGUGGUAGGAUACGUAACAUUCUGCGCCGAUCCUCAAUCAAGUAGGAUGAGCUUGGCCCGCUCAAUCGCGACAACCGGCUCGGCCGUUGCCUCGGCCUUGACACGCAAGUGGAAGGGCGGACAAAGACCGACGCUGGACGUCAACGAGGACGUG